rnacentral:tRNA from 1 species
GGUGGUGCAGUGGUGAACACAGCUGCCUCCCAAGCAGUUGACCCAGGUUCGAUUCCUGGCC